ACUGCAGCUUCCGUUGGCAACUGCAGCUUCCGUUGGCAACUGCAGCUUCCGUUGGCAGCGAGCCGACCAGAGGGGCAAUGGCUGAGGAUCAGGAACCUGACUUUUACCUAAAGUGGAAGCACUGUGAGAAACCGGGUGUUAAGACUCUAAGCAACUUAAGGAAACUCCUGUCCCAACUCCAGGAGGACCACAGGAAGGACAUCAGUGUGUACAUUUCAGGACACCUGAACCCCAGGAAGCUCUACAAGCCACCUGAGACCAUUUUCCAGCACUGGCGCAAUUCCAACAGGACAUGGGAGAAACCCACCCACUCCACACCCACCAUCCCCCCGGCCUCCAGAAACAAAGAAGUAUCAGAGAUGAAGGACGCUUGGGUUCACUUUACAGUGAGCACAGCCCUGCAUCCCGAUGACACACACAACACGCCACUGUUCAGGUACCUGAACCCACGCGUACAGGCCUCCCGUGCUCUCAAAGAUGGUGCCUCCGCGGCUCUGCAGGAGGAGGAGAAGGAACUGAAGGAAAGACUUGCAUUUUCUCGGGAAAAACACAUGAAGGAAGAACUCAGGCUGCCUGAGAUGAAAGUGCUCAGAUACCCAGAGGUGGUAUCCAGCCGCCAGUGCUCCAGGUCUGCCCCAGGCAGGGAUGUGUACCGUUACAUCAGCCCCUACCUAGCUGGUAUAACGAAAGCCGACAGCUACAAGAAGUUCCUGAGUUUCCAAAGAGAAGUGCUGGCAAAGGAAGAAACCCUGAAGUAUGACUUCACGGGGAGCAAGGUGGCUGUGGCCCAUGAGAACAGACUGAAGGAGGAGCUCCAGAAGAUAUGCACCUGCAACCCUCAGCAGUUCAACAGGUUGCAGGUCUUUGGGGAAAUCUUUGAGGAUAUUUGCAACAGCUCUUUGAUCUUUGGGGAUCUACUGAAAGAGAUUAAGGAUGAAUAUGAACUCUACAUGGCAGCUCUCCUGGACUCACAGCCCACAGCGCAGUAUCAGCGGCUCUUGGCUGAAGUCAGGGGGUUGGAGAACAGCCCCAGGCCCAGCUGUGACAUUGACCAAGCCAAGGAGCACCUGAGGAAGGUCCAGCAGGCUUAUCUAGAAGCCUUGGAGCACAACGACAAACUCAGGAAUGAGCUGGAGGCUGAGAGCUUAUUGCUGCAGUCUGCUAAGGAAAAAGCAGCUAAUGGGAAAAUGAAGGAUGAGAAGGAACUGACUCUGGUCGAAAAGGUGGAGAAGAGGAGGUGUGAAAUCUUUGAGAAAUUGGAUGAGAUUAAAGCGCUUGAGAAACACAUCAAAGAAAACAUGGUGCACUCGGGAGUAUUUAAGAUCGCAGAGAGUGGCCUUAAAAGCAUAGAGGAGAGUGUUGGUGGCUGUGUGUUGCCUGGUAGAGAAGGCUUCUGGGAUCCUAUAUGUGUGGCCAUGGGUGAAAAGUGUUUUCAAGGAUGAAGCCAUAAAGUUGGAAACAUCAAACAGAAUCUUAAAGAAGAAAAUAAAAGUGAUUGAAAGCCAGAUGAAGCAGCUCUUACUAAGGAGUAAGAUCAGCGAGGAGGAAAGGCAGGCGCUGUGGGAUCUCAUUAGGGAAUAUUCAGAUAUCGAGGAUGUCGAGGAUGUGGAGGGUGACUUUGAAAUGCUUAGAAAACUGACAUAGGAAGCCUCUGCUUCCCAGACGAACAUCUGGAUCGGCGAUGGAGAUGCUGCUUCUUAUCAUCUGUCCCACUGGAGCGUCAGUGUGGAACGUGCUCCAUCCUCGGCUUGUUGAUCGAUGUGUCCUCCAGGUGACUCCUUCCACUUUAUAUGUGUAUACAUAUACUUUAUAUGCAGUUCAUCUUUUAUUCUGUAACUUUGAACUGGACAAAACAGGUUUAAAUAUUUAAUAAGAAUGAAGUUUUUUUUUUUAUCCUGCUGAGAUGGAAAUCAAUUCUGUUUAAGUGUUGACAUGUUUCCACACGUGCAUUUAAUAAAAUAAAGGUCACACCCGA